GACGAACGCUGGCGGCGUGCUUAACACAUGCAAGUCGAACGGAAAGGCCCUGCUUUUGUGGGGUGCUCGAGUGGCGAACGGGUGAGUAACAAGGGAGUAACCUGCCCUUGACUUUGGGAUAACUUCAGGAAACUGGGGCUAAUACCGGAUAGGAGCUCCUGCUGCAUGGGGGGGGUUGGAAAGUUUCGGCGGGUGGGGAUGGACUCGCGGCUUAUCAGCUUGUUGGUGGGGGAGUGGCUUACCAAGGCUUUGACGGGUAGCCGGCCUGAGAGGGUGACCGGCCACAUUGGGACUGAGAUACGGCCCAGACUCCUACGGGAGGCAGCAGUGGGGAAUAUUGCACAAUGGGCGGAAGCCUGAUGCAGCAACGCCGCGUGCGGGAUGACGGCCUUCGGGUUGUAAACCGCUUUCGCCUGUGACGAAGCGUGAGUGACGGUAAUGGGUAAAGAAGCACCGGCUAACUACGUG
rnacentral:rRNA from 1 species